rnacentral:lncRNA from 1 species
UAAUACAUUUACUUAUAGAAUUAACUUGAAGCAUAACUUUAUGGGGACAAGACAACUACUUGGCAAUAUUUUAUUGUUGCUGAUGAAUAUAUAUAUAUACAAAGUCCAAAAGGAUGAGUAUAGAAAUUUUUCAUCCAAGAUAAGAAUUGCCGUGAAAUCAAAUAUUUUCUUCCUGUCUUUCCUGCCAAGGAAACACUUUCUUAAGGUUUAACUACUCGGCCUAGACUCAUCUUAUUUCCCUGUAUAAUAUAUUUACUUAUAGAAUUAACUUGAAGCAUAACUUUAUGGGGACAAGACAACUACUUGGCAAUAUUUUAUUGUUGCUGAUGAAUAAGUUAAUGUUUGGAUGGAUUCUUGAUGAUAGUUUGUAACCAUAACUAUAUACCUUGAUGAGCAGGGAAAGAGAGAUUAAUUCAAAGAAUAAAACUAAAUACAAGAAAGCUAAAAUGCAUGGAAAUUUAAAUAGUAUAAAAUUUAAAGAGCAUGGGAGUCAAAAUGCUUAAAAUUAAAAUAAAAAAUUAAACAAAAAUGAAACAAAUUGAAUCGCCCAUAUCUUUUCACAUUUCAAGAAAGAAAAGGUCCCAGAUUUUAUAGGAAUUUUUUUUUUUUAUCAUCAAGAUGCAUAUGAAGACAAAAAAAAAUUAUUUAACAUUUUUGAAACCUAAAACACCUUUUCUUUGAAAACCGUUCAACUUGUGGAGCUAAAGUUUCUUCCAUUUUGUAAAGAGCGUAUGAAAAUAAAAAGCAAAAAAGGAUUUGUCUGCUAACAGCAAACAGCUCUAUGACAACCAUUCGUGAAAGAAGCAAGCAAAACAAGAAAAAGCUAUGCUUUUUUCUCCUUUUUUAAACUGAUGUCUUCUUUUUUUGUGUUUUUUCAAUUGAUUUUUCUUGGUUCUGCGACCCUCCUUUUUCUGCCCAUACCUCAUCUGUUUCAGGCCCCUGACCCAACCGUUUAAAGGCCCUCAAUCACUCAUGGUAGUCCUUGGAUCAAAGGAAAAUCAACGGACAAAAAAAUGUCUUUUUCUUACUAAUCUUGAAGGCCAAGUUCAUAAUGUGAACCAUUAGAUUAGUUUCCUUUAAAAUCUAAUGAUCCUCACUAUUCACAACAUAUUCUCUUGGCUGCAUAUGUAGCAAUCCCUUCAUGCAUGUGAAAUGACAAUUUUAUCCUUAUAAGUGUUUUCAAGCAUUUUUGCAUGAUUUUCUUGGAAACCUAUCUUUCCUUCCUUAGCUUUUGUGAUUUUAAUGCAUCGAAAAUUAUAAAAUAAUAUCAAAAUAUGAUCUAAAAGUUUUUAUGAAAAACCAAUCUCAAGAAAAUCAAAUUACAAAAAUAAUCCAAAAAAGGUAUUUUGUUAAUUUCACACCUUCUAAGGUGCGAUCAAGGUUUUAUUGAAUCAAAAAUCAUGAAAUAAUAUAAAAAUAUGAUUUGAAAAUUUUCGUGAAAAAAUUACAUCGAGAAGAUCAAAUUAC